UACGUAGGGUGCAAGCGUUAAUCGGAAUUACUGGGCGUAAAGCGUGCGCAGGCGGUUUUGUAAGACAGGUGUGAAAUCCCCGGGCUCAACCUGGGAACUGCAUUUGUGACUGCAUAGCUAGAGUACGGUAGAGGGGGAUGGAAUUCCGCGUGUAGCAGUGAAAUGCGUAGAUAUGCGGAGGAACACCGAUGGCGAAGGCAAUCCCCUGGACCUGUACUGACGCUCAUGCACGAAAGCGUGGGGAGCAAACAGG
rnacentral:rRNA from 1 species